GAUGAACGCUGGCGGCGUGCCUAAUACAUGCAAGUCGAGCGAAUGGAUUAAGAGCUUGCUCUUAUGAAGUUAGCGGCGGACGGGUGAGUAACACGUGGGUAACCUGCCCAUAAGACUGGGAUAACUCCGGGAAACCGGGGCUAAUACCGGAUAACAUUUUGAACCGCAUGGUUCGAAAUUGAAAGGCGGCUUCGGCUGUCACUUAUGGAUGGACCAGCGGCGCAUUAGCUAGGUGGUGAGGUAACGGCUCACCAAGGCAACGAUGCGUAGCCGACCUGAGAGGGUGAUCGGCCACACUGGGACUGAGACACGGCCCAGACUCCUACGGGAGGCAGCAGUAGGGAAUCUUCCGCAAUGGACGAAAGUCUGACGGAGCAACGCUGCGUGAGUGAUGAAGGCUUUCGGGUCGUAAAACUCUGUUGUUAGGGAAGAACAAGUGCUAGUUGAAUAAGCUGGCAUCUUGACGGUACCUAACCAGAAAGCCACGGCUAACUACGUGCCAGCCGCCGCAGUAA
rnacentral:rRNA from 1 species